GAGUUUGAUCCUGGCUCAGAACGUACGCUGGCGGCACGCCUAACACAUGCAAGUCGAACGCAGUAGCAAUACUGAGUGGCAAACGGGUGAGUAUAAUGUGGGAAUCUGCCUUUUGGUUUGGAAUAACACGGGGAAACUUGUGCUAAUACCGAAUAAGCCCUUACGGGGAAAGUUUUAACGCCGAAAGAUGAGCCUGCACUUGAUUAGCUAGUUGGUAAGGUAAAGGCUUACCAAGGCAACGAUCAAUAGCUGUUCUUAGAGGAAGACCAGCCACAUUGGGACUGAGACACGGCCCAGACUCCUACGGGAGGCAGCAGUGGGGAAUCUUGCACAAUGGGGGAAACCCUGAUGCAGCGAUGCCGCGUGAGUGAAGAAGGCCCUUGGGUUGUAAAACUCUUUCGUCGGGGAAGAAAAUGACUGUACCCGAAUAAGAAGGUCCGGCUAACUUCGUGCCAGCAGCCGCGGUAAUACGAAGGGACCUAGCGUAGUUCGGAAUUACUGGGCUUAAAGAGCUCGUAGGUGGUUAAAAAAGUUGAUGGUGAAAUCCCAAGGCUCAACCUUGGAACUGCCAUCAAAACUUUUUAGCUAGAGUGUGAUAGAGGUAAGUGGAAUUUCUAGUGUAGAGGUGAAAUUCGUAGAUAUUAGAAAGAACACCAAAUGCGAAGGCAACUUACUGGGUCACUACUGACACUGAGGAGCGAAAGCAUGGGUAGCGAAGAGGAUUAGAUACCCUCGUAGUCCAUGCCGUAAACGAUGUGUGCUAGACGUUGGAAAUAUAUUUUUCAGUGUCGCAGCGAAAGCAUUAAGCACACCGCCCUGGGGAGUACGACCGCAAGGUUAAAACUCAAAUGAAUUGACGGGGACCCGCACAAGCAGUGGAGCAUGUGGUUUAAUUUCGAAGAUACGCGCAGAACCUUACCACACUUGACAUGUUCGUCGCGAGACUAAGAGAUUAGUCUUUUCAGUUCGGCUGGACGAAACAACA
rnacentral:rRNA from 1 species